rnacentral:rRNA from 1 species
GAAUAAUGUGAAUUGCAGAACACAUUGAACAUCGACACCUUGAACGCACAUGGCGGCCUCGGGUCCAUCCCGGGGCCACGCCCGUCUGAGGGUCG